GACGAACGCUGGCGGCGUGCCUAAUACAUGCAAGUGGAACGCUGAAGGAGGAGCUUGCUUCUCUGGAUGAGUUGCGAACGGGUGAGUAACGCGUAGGUAACCUGCCUGGUAGCGGGGGAUAACUAUUGGAAACGAUAGCUAAUACCGCAUAAGAGUAGAUGUUGCAUGACAUUUGCUUAAAAGGUGCAAUUGCAUCACUACCAGAUGGACCUGCGUUGUAUUAGCUAGUUGGUGAGGUAACGGCUCACCAAGGCAACGAUACAUAGCCGACCUGAGAGGGUGAUCGGCCACACUGGGACUGAGACACGGCCCAGACUCCUACGGGAGGCAGCAGUAGGGAAUCUUCGGCAAUGGACGGAAGUCUGACCGAGCAACGCCGCGUGAGUGAAGAAGGUUGUCGGAUCGUAAAGCUCGGUUGUAAGAGAAGAACGAGUGUGAGAGUGGAAAGUUCACACUGUGACGGUAUCUUACCAGAAAGGGACGGCUAACUACGCG
rnacentral:rRNA from 1 species